AUACGUAGGUGGCAAGCGUUGUCCGGAUUUACUGGGUGUAAAGGGCGUGCAGCCGGGCCGGCAAGUCAGAUGUGAAAUCUGGAGGCUUAACCUCCAAACUGCAUUUGAAACUGUAGGUCUUGAGUACCGGAGAGGUUAUCGGAAUUCCUUGUGUAGCGGUGAAAUGCGUAGAUAUAAGGAAGAACACCAGUGGCGAAGGCGGAUAACUGGACGGCAACUGACGGUGAGGCGCGAAAGCGUGGGGAGC
rnacentral:rRNA from 1 species